rnacentral:lncRNA from 1 species
CAGGAAGUUGACACAGAUAUACAUGUAGCCAAGAUACUCACAUACCUACAAAAUCCUUAUUAGAAACGUUACAAUUGGAAAUAUGCUUAACAAUCUACAAAUCAAAAUCAUAUUGAUGGCAUAUGUUUUUCCUUCGGAGGUAAAUAGUAAGAACCGUAACUGUACCUCUCUUAUAUCGUAAGUAUUUUGUAUGAUAUUGUACUUGGAAAAAAAUGAAGAUAUCCGUAAUGUGAGAAACUUAAUCCUAUUUUAAGAAAGUUUGAAAGCUAAGAUGUCCGUUUAGAUAUUGUAAGUUUCAAAAGAGGUUCUUUUUUAAAAUCAAAAUAUAAUUUAAAGUGUAUAGAAUUUACAUAAUGUCAAAAAAGUAUAUAUAUUGACUGGGGUUACCUAGAAUAUGUCUUUAAAAUUAUUCAACUUUUUAUAUUGUUUGUUUGAUUUAUUUUAGUCUCAGUUUAAUAGGGAUAAACAUUAUAAAUCAAAUAUGAGAAUUUUAGUCAAAUCAGUGAACAUGAAUUUGAAAGCUAGUGAUCUUUAGCCAGAUCAUUAACUGAUAUACAUAUUGAAUUGUGUAAUACGCACGUUUGCAUUGCAUGCUAAUCACUUGGCACUAGAUAACACGUCAUAGAUAUCUAAAUUGUGAAAUUCAUUUUAUAUGGACAAAUAUUUACUCUCAAUUUAUUGCAACGAUUAUGAUGGUUAUGUUAUCCAAUGAGUUUCUACUGUUAUAUAUAUUUGUAUAUCUUUUUGUGUUUCUUCUUCUGACAUUACUAAAAAAACUCAUAAACCAACUUGCUUUUAAUGAUAACUAGGCUUGAUACCAGAUGUAAUCAACGACGAUUUUGAAAAACAAAUCUUAUAUGGCAGGGCACUAAAAAGGUUUGUUAAAAUAAAUUUCAGAUUAAGAAUUAAAAGUUAUAUAAGUAAAAUGUGAAUUGCCUAAAUAUUUUCCCGUUUUUGUUUCAGAGAUAAAAGUCCACGAGGUUAUCCGGUGUACAGAUUAAUAUAUAGAUGCUGUCUUAACUAUCAUUUACUAAAUGGAAAAUGUGAAGGUAACUUCAAAAUAAAUUCUGUUUUACGUUACAUGGUUUCGUAACUUCCUGACAAAACAUGUUUCGGCUCAAUGAUAUUAUAAUCCGGUACCAUCAAUAUACAAAGAUAGGAUUUCUAUUUGCUAUUUAGAUGAUAUUUAAUAAUAUGUUAAAUUCACAUAUAAUUAUUUUUGAAUAUGCGAUUCAAUAUUUUUUAAACCGUUCCGUAUUAGUGAAGACAUAAUUUAAAAGAUACAGUCAGUGGACAAAAGUAAGUUCCCACUCACUCAAUAACAUUUACCCUCUCCAAAAUGUAAUAGAUUGUAUGUUGUCAAAUAUCUUAAAAAUGAUUUAUACCAACCAUUAACAGUAAUUGUUUUAAAUCGUCAUGUCAAAGACUUUCAAUAUACCAAAGAGUGUAGGUUGACUAGUUUGCCAUAGAGUUUUCAAAUUUGAUAUAUACGAUUAAUAUGCUUUUCAAAACUGUAACUUGAUAUCAAAUAUGGGAUUAAAGUUACUUUUCGUUAUAAAAACUCGCAUAUUUGGAGAUCCGUCUUUUUCUGUUUGGAUUUGUAUAUUCAUAUUUGAUUAAAUGGUCAUUUGAAAAAUCACUUUGCAGAUUCAUUUGCUGUAACUUUUUGAAAGCCUUUUCUGUAACGGAAACAAAUAUGUGCUAGAUACACUAAUUACUGAAAAUGUGAUGAUAAGAUUGAAGCUUUAAAUGUUUUCCUGGACAGCGCAUAAAGAUAAAAGAAGAAGUGUUAUGAUUGCCGUUGCCGUUUAAAUGGUUUAACACUAGUCAGAUUUGGGGCCCUUUAUAGCUGGCUGUUCGGUGUAAGCCAAGGCUCCGUGUUGAAGACCCUACUUUCACACAUGAUUUACAUUUACAAAUUAUGAUUUGAAAGGAGAGUUGUCUCAUUAGCACUCAUACCACAUCUUCUUAUAUCUAUACAAGAUAUAUGUUUGUUUCGGUGAUAUGGUGUAUCGACAGAUAGUAGGUAUCCAUAUGAGCUCCAAUUGCGCUCCUUUAAAAGCAAAUUAUUCAUGUUUUGAUAUGAAUCACGUUUUAUGGACAAAAUCAGCAUAGCAACGUCAAUGAUACAAUUGGUUGACACAUUCAACAAUACCAACCGUCAUCUAUGGAAUUAGACUAUUUACCUGAUUUGUUAUUACAUAAGCAACACGACGGGUGUCAAAUGUGGAGAAGGAUCUGUUUACCCUUCCUGAGCACCUGAGAUCACCCUUAGUUUUUGGUGGGGUUUGUGUUGUCUAUUCUUUAGUUUUCUAUUUUGUGUCAUGUGUACUGUUGUUUGUCUGCUUGUCUUUUUUCAGUUUUAGUCAUGGCGUUGUCAGAUUAUUUUCGAUAUAUGAGUUUGACUGUCCCUCUGGUAUCUUUCGUCCCUCUUUUAUCUUAGUGAUUUGUUUUACGUUAGAUUAUACAGAGUUCUCUUGAUAUGACACAACAAAUUAGCCAACGGAACUUACUUCAAAUAAAUCUCAUUUAAAUUUUAAAGGUAAACUCUAUACUAAAGACAAAAGGAACAAUUUUCCAUUCCCUAUUGUUAUAAUUGUCCUUAUUAUUCAGCGAUGCUUAUUGACUCCAUCAUAAGUUUUUAUGUAUCUCGUUCGUUAUGCCCGUUUGUGUAGUGAUUUCAUCUAUUUUAACGGGCGUAAUCAAUGCAUCACUGGUAAAUAAGUGACAUGAUUAAGUCAGAGAUUUCGCUACCAUAUAUUAUUAAAACAUUUACUAUUUUUCCUCAUAACAAUCGUUUAAGUGAAUUCUGCUGUACAUGUAGAAUAAUUAUCAAAGGUACCAGGAUUAUAAUUUAGUACGCCAGACGCGCGUUUCUUCCUCAUAAGACUCAUCAGUGACGCUCAUAUCAAAAUAUCUAUUAAGCCAAACAAGUACAAAUUUGAAGAGCAUUGAGGAUCCAAAAUUCCAAAAAGUUAUGCCAUAUACGGCUAAGGUAAUUUAUACCUGGGAUAAGAAAAUCCUUAGUUUUUCGAAAACUUCAAAAUUUUGUAAGCUGGAAAAAUGAUAUCCUAAGUGUUAGUAUUAUCCUUGCCAUUAAAGCGGGAAGGUGACUAGACACAAAAUAAACUUAUCAUAGAUACCAGGACUAAAUUCAAACCCACCAUUUUUUCUUAAAAUGUCCUGUACCAAUUGAUUAAGGAAAAUGGCUAUUUUUAUCUUAUAGUUCGUUUCUGUGAGUGUUGCAUUUUAGUUUUUCUGGUGUGUCAUUGUUCUCCUCUUAUAUUUAAUGUGUUUUCCUCAGUUUUAGUUUGUAACCCGGAUUUGGUUUUUCUCAAUCAAUUUAUGAAUUGCGAACAGUUGCCUUUAUUUACGUUACGGUAAACUGUCCUACAAUCACGGACAGCACUAUGUGAUCUAUAUAAACUCAUCGAACAUUUAAACAAUUUUAUAAGUAAAAAUUGUCUUAAAAGGGAUGUAUAAUAACAUACUAGAACAUCCUACAUUUAUCAGCACUACGUUUUAUUUAGAAUGUCCACCAGGAACGUACGGAUCACAUGGGAUGUGCGAUAAACCAUGUCCAGAGAACAGUUAUGGGAGAUUUUGUUCCCUGACAUGUCAUUGUGAGAAAAAUGAAAGGUAAAAUAUUUCUUUAAUUAAAAUCAAGUUAUCAUUAUGAAAUUGAUAUAAGAUUGAGAAUGGGAAUGGGGAAUGUGUCAAAGAGACAACAACCCGCCCAUAUAAAUGACAACAGCAGAAGGUCACCAACAGGUCUUCAAUGUAGCGAGAAAUUCCCGCACCCGGAGGCGUCCUUCAGUUGGCCCCUUAACAAAUAUAUACUAGUUCAGUGAUACUGAACGCCAUACUAAACUCCAAAUUGUACACAAGAAACUAAAAUUAAAAAUAAUACAAGACUAACAAAGGCCAGAGGCUCCUGACUUGGGACAGGCGCAAAAAUGCGGCGGGGUUAAACAUGUUCAUGAGAUCUCAACCCCCUAUAUCUCUAGCCAAUGUAGAAAAGUAAAUGCAUAACAAUACGCGCAUUAAAAUUCAGUUCAAGAGAAGUCCGAGUCUGAUGUCAGAAGAUGUAACCAAAGAAAAUGUAUGUUAGAAAGAUAUAUUAAAUCUUCACUGACUAUAAGGGAAAGAGAUGUGUAUUUUAUUAAUUUAUAUUUCUUCGCCGAAUAGAAGAAUGUUGCAUGCCUAUUUUAGGUUAUUUUCUAGAUGUCAUCAUUUCUGUUUCUUUUAAUUCAAAUUCGUAGUUUCAAAUACCCUAUCAAGUACAGAUUAAGGUGGCUCGCGGGUCUAAAUCAUUUUUUUUUAAUGUAGGAUUUUGCAAUAUUUUUCUACAAAUGAACUUUAUCUUAUACUUAAUAGAAAAAUAAAAUAAAAAGAUGGGGUCACCGUUCAUUUACGCUCACAAUAUGCCUUCGAAAGAACCAUACAUUUGUGUAAAGUUACUUUUUUCUGUUGAACUAACAACAGAAAAAAGGUAAUAUCGAAAUAAAAAAGAACCAAAAUACAGACAUCGCUCAAAUUUUACAAAAGUUUAGUUUAAAUACAGCUUAUUUGAAAAUAGUAAUAAAAAUAUAGGUCACCGAUGAGUUAAAAAAGAUAUUUCAAUUUUAAUGCCAAAAAAUUGGCAUUUUUUGCACCAAAGGGAGAUAAUUUGGAGCUUUUUAAAUGAUAAAUACAUUUUAGAAGUCAUCUGGGGCCAACACAAAUUGAUUUUUUUAAUGAUUUUUGUACCAUAUGAUAAAGUAACAACUAAUAAAGGUUGUAAUGAAAAAUAACUUUCAUUUUUUUACCGACAUUUUUAUACCCUCGAGCCUUCUUAAACAAUUGAAAAUUCGCUUUUUAGAUUUUUGUCUUUUAGAAAAGUGUGCUCUGUGCUGAGAAGGAACGGUUAUAGAACACCGUGUGUUAGGUCAAAUUAACCCUAUUUUUGAAAAUGACAAUGUACGCAGACUGACUAUAUGCAAUAUGUCGCCAUUGAUUAGAAGCUUUGCUAUCUUAUCGUUUGAAGACCUACGUAUAAUACAAAACAACAUUUAAAAAUGAAUAUUACUAUCUGGAUUGCUGAUAAUGUUUGAACGACACGAGAAUCAUAUAUUUCCCUUUUCUGAUUUGUUUCUAGAUGUCAUGCUGUUCAUGGUUGCACGUGUACAAGC